AUUGAACGCUAGCGGGAUGCCUUACACAUGCAAGUCGAACGGCGUGGCGAACGGGUGAGUAAUGUAUCGGAACGUGCCCAGUAGCGGGGGAUAACUACGCGAAAGCGUAGCUAAUACCGCAUACUAUUGGAGCGGCCGUUAUCGGAUUAGCUGGUUGGUGGGGUAACGGCUCACCAAGGCGACGAUCCGUAGCUGGUUUGAGAGGACGACCAGCCAAACUGGGACGGAGACACGGCCCAGACUCCUACGGGAGGCAGCAGUGGGGAAUUUUGGACAAUGGGGGAAACUCUGAUCGAGCAACCCCGCGUGUGUGAUGAAGGCCUUCGGGUUGUAAAGCACUUUUGGCAGGAAAGCGGUACCUAACCAAUAAGCACCGGCUAACUACGUGCCAGCCGCCGCGGUAAUUC
rnacentral:rRNA from 1 species